AUUUUCCUGCAGCUGCCUGGCCCUCUUACCCGGUCGGGCUCCAGCUGACCAGGGAAGGGGUGGGCCGAGGCUGAGGCGCGGGACCCGGGAGUGGCCCCGACUUGGUGUGGGAGCCCGCCGGGGGAACACGCGAGCCGGGGCUCUCGGAGCGGGUGGCGGCGCGCGGCCCUGAGCCCCGCCCCAGGCCGGCAGGCGGGCGGGGAGCCGGUGGGGGUAGGGGGUGCGGUGGGGGGUGGGGACCCUCGGGCGCUUGGGGGUCCCAGGCCCCGCCGGCUGCGGAGCGGAAGGGGUGGCGGACGAGCCGCAGAGAUGUCUGGCCAGAGCCUGACGGACCGAAUCACCGCGGCCCAGCACAGUGUCACUGGCUCCGCGGUAUCUAAGACAGUAUGCAAGGCCACGACCCACGAGAUCAUGGGCCCCAAGAAAAAGCACCUGGACUGUGAGUGAAGACCCCCCGCAUCCUCUCCCGACCCCUCUCCAUCGUCCUCCUCUCUCUCUUGGGCUGCCUCUUCCCUCCCUGCGUCUUAUCUGCACGAUGGCUCCUGUGCCUGGUCGAGCUGUGUGUUCUUUUCUGCUCCCAUCACACCUGCCUUUAACGGCCUCUGCUCUUCUCUCAAAAGAGAGAAAAAAAAUGUGACAAUCCAUUGCGCCCCCAGAGAUCCCCUGAGACCCUCGCCUCCUAGCCCCCGGCACCACCAAGCCCAUCGCGCUCCACCAACUUGCCUCCCACCCAGCUCCUCACUCAGACUCCUCUCCCAGCUACUGCAGCCCCUUUUGCCCUUCCAUCCCACCCGUCCCGUACCUCCUAGCAGCCGUCCGCUCAGUGAUUCCCCGGCUAAUGUCUCCAGGACUCAGGCUCACCGCCCCAUUGUUCCAUUAGCUUUUUAAAAUUCCCUUUCCUUUCUUUUUUUUUUUUUUUUUUUUUUUCGUAUUUCCGUACUAACUCUGCUUGGUGGGACCAGAUUUCUGUCACUUCUCAGCUCUUGAAGUGUUUUUCCCCUCCUCCCAUUUCUUUGUGGUUUCCUUUUCUACCUUUCUAUCUACCUUUUCGGUCAUCUUUGCCAUUCUAGCUUCCGUUAAGUUCCUUUGACUUCUUGUCACCUCCUUCUUUCAAUACUAUGCCCAGUUACUCGGCUUUUAUUCCAUUUACGCUUGUGGGGAGUAGAAACAAAGGGAUUCAGUGUGGUGUGGGGAAGGCUUUGUGGGAAGUUACUAUUUUUAUUUGCCAUCAUUAUAUUGUCUGAGUUUUGAAGUUGUGUGUUGUGCAUGUUCUACCCCCCCCCCCCUUUUGUAAUCCAUAUGAGGAUAUGGAUAAGGGCUUUGCUGGUUUUGGUAUCAGUUCCUGGAACUGUUAACAUUGGUGGUUUGAAUUUAGAAGCUUGAGUGUGAUGUGUAGCGGUUCGAAAUGGAUCAAUAUAUUUAAGUACAAAUAAUCAGGUUUGGAAACGUUUUAAUUUAUGCUAGCUGUAUUUUGGAUAACUAUCUUGCUUAAGCGGCAUAAUGUAACUCCAGCAUAAACUUAGGUACAGUUAAUAGAGCGGACUCCUCCCAGUUGCUUUCUAACCUAGGAGCCACCUGUAAAACCACCUCCUUUUUCUUGUUGCUCCUUUGCCCUAGGGUACAAAGCUCAGUGGAUCACUCAGUCCUUGAGUCAGUGGAAUGUUUCAGGAAAAAAUAGGGAUAUAGCAAGGAUAGUAAAUUCUCUUUUUAAAUGACUCCCGGACACAUUAGCCAAACUGACUUUCAUCAUACAUGAAAGUUGCUUUGCCCUGUGAAGCAAGAGCGAGCUUGUCCUGAAAGGGAAUUCGCUGUAAGGAAUCUUGUUUCUCACUUGGACUUUGGCUGUGAGGUUUGCACU
rnacentral:lncRNA from 1 species